rnacentral:rRNA from 1 species
GACGAACGCUGGCGGCGUGCUUAACACAUGCAAGUCGAACGGAAAGGCCCUGCUUUUGUGGGGUGCUCGAGUGGCGAACGGGUGAGUAACACGUGAGUAACCUGCCCUUGACUUUGGGAUAACUUCAGGAAACUGGGGCUAAUACCGGAUAGGAGCUCCUGCUGCAUGGUGGGGGUUGGAAAGAUUCGGCGGUUGGGGAUGGACUCGCGGCUUAUCAGCUUGUUGGUGGGGUAGUGGCUUACCAAGGCUUUGACGGGUAGCCGGCCUGAGAGGGUGACCGGCCACAUUGGGACUGAGAUACGGCCCAGACUCCUACGGGAGGCAGCAGUGGGGAAUAUUGCACAAUGGGCGGAAGCCUGAUGCAGCGACGCCGCGUGCGGGAUGACGGCCUUCGGGUUGUAAACCGCUUUCGCCUGUGACGAAGCGUGAGUGACGGUAAUGGGUAAAGAAGCACCGGCUAACUACGUG